rnacentral:lncRNA from 10 species
GGGCACUUAACCAACCUGUGCCUCCAUUCUCCAUCUGUAAAAUGGGAACACCAAGUUUCCUCUGCAGGUUUCUUGGAGGGAUUAAGAAAGCUGUGUAUGAGUGCACAUGGACAAUUUUUGAAAAUAUUGUAAGGUUCACAGAAAACUUGGUAACUGUGGCUACUUUUAGGGAUUCUGUCUAGGGGACCAAGGAUUAGGGGAGGAAAAAUACCCUACCAGUCACUGCCUGCACUCUCAUAGUGUUUGACAUUUUUGUUACACAUGUGAAUGUAUUACUUUUUUUUAAAAGACUGAAAAAAUGAAACAAAAUGUAUAUAUAAUGGCUCAAAAAUGGUAAGCAAUACACCAAGUCUUUGUUUGUUUGUUUGUUUGUUUUGAGACCUGUCUUGCUCUGUCGCCCAGGCUGGAGUGCAGUGGCAUGAACUCAGCUCACUGCAACCUCCACCUCUUGGAUUCAAGUGAUUCUCCUGCCUCAGCCUCCUGAGUAGCUGGGAAUACAGGCGUGUGCCACCAUGCCUGGCUAGUUUUUGUAUUUUUAGUAGAGACGGAGUUUCACCAUGUUGGCCAGGGUGGUCUCAAACUCCUGACCUCAGGUGAUCCACCCCCCUCAGCCUCUCAAAGUGCUGGCAUUACAGGACUGAGCCACCAGGCCCAGCCUGGUCCUCUUAGAAGUUUGCUU